rnacentral:rRNA from 1 species
CGGACGGGUGAGUAAUGUCUGGGAAACUGCCCGAUGGAGGGGGAUAACUACUGGAAACGGUAGCUAAUACCGCAUGACGUCGCAAGACCAAAGAGGGGGACCUUAGGGCCUCUUGCCAUCGGAUGUGCCCAGAUGGGAUUAGCUAGUAGGUGGGGUAACGGCUCACCUAGGCGACGAUCCCUAGCUGGUCUGAGAGGAUGACCAGCCACACUGGAACUGAGACACGGUCCAG